rnacentral:rRNA from 1 species
UUCCCCGUUGAUCCUGCCGGAGGCCACUGCUAUUGGGAUUCGAUUAAGCCAUGCGAGUCGAGAGGGUUCGGCCCUCGGCUGACGGCUCAGUAACACGUGGAUAAUCUGCCCUUAGGUGGAGGAUAACCUCGGGAAACUGAGAAUAAUACUCCAUAGGUCUAGGAUGCUGGAAUGCACUUAGUCUGAAAACUCCGGUGCCUAAGGAUGAAUCUGCGGACUAUCAGGUUGUAGUCAGGGUAAUGACCUGACUAGCCUAUGACGGAUAUGGGUUGUGGGAGCAAUAACCCAGAGAUGAUAUCUGAGACACGAUAUCAGGCCCUACGGGGCGCAGCAGGCGCGAAAACUUCGCAAUGUGCGAAAGCACGACGAGGGAAUCCCAAGUGCUUGCACGUAAGUGUAAGCUGUUUCUCUGUUUAAAACGCAGAGAGAGUAAGGGCUGGGUAAGACGGGUGCCAGCCGCCGCGGUAAUACCUGCAGCUCAAGUGGUGGCUGUUAUUAUUGGGCCUAAAACGUCCGUAGCCGGUUUAUUAAAUGCCUGAGUAAAUCGGACCGCUUAACGGUUCGAAUUCCGGGUAGACUGAUAAACUUGAAACCGGGAGAAGUUAGAGGUACUCCUGGGGUAGAGGUGAAAUUCUGUAAUCCUAGGGGGACCACCAGUGGCGAAAGCGUCUAACUAGAACGGGUCUGACGGUGAGGGACGAAGCCCUGGGGCGCAAACGGGAUUAGAUA